CGCCUGCUCAUUGGGGAGUAGCCGCCUCGAACGCCAUGUUCGAGGGCGCAUGUCAACAUACUUGGCGAGUCGAGAGACCCGCUAUGGCGUGCGCAGCUAAGUGCCUGGCAAGACCGAUGACACGCAUUCCGACCUAACCGGGUCGCCGGAAUGCGCGUCAUCGCGUGCUUUCAGCGCGGCCCGGGUACAA
rfam:Burkholderia sp. OLGA172 chromosome 2, complete sequence.